ACUUAAAACUAUUCUCUGC
rnacentral:tRNA from 1 species